AUAAACCAUACAAACC
rnacentral:sRNA from 1 species